CGUAUGCAGAGAAUGUCUCCCUACACGGAUUCAACUCCAAACGAGAGGUAUUCAUUGUCCAGCAAUUUGCCUUUUCUAUAGCAUUGAAUUGGAGAAUUCUUUUCAUUAUUUCAUUACUUGUCAUAAUAGUAUUGUUAUGUGGGAAAAGAUUGGAUUAUGGUCUUGGAUUGAGCCAUUGCUGAAUAAUGUAGAAUCGUUUUCAGAGAUGGUGUUUAAGUGUUUGAAGAGCUUCAGUGCAGAAAAUACCAGUGGCAAAUCAGGUUUUGGUUGUGUGCUUCGAGAUGGAGAAGGCAAUUUUGUACAGGGUGGAUUGAUGUUGUAAUGGAGGUACAAGAAAAAGAGACUUUAGCCAUGUUUAAAGCUAUGAAGUGGGUGGAACAAUUACCAUUCUCGGUAGUGAUUUUUGAGAGUGAUUGCAAAGGCUUAGUAAAUCAAGUCAAAAGCCGAAAUAAUAGCACUACUGAAUUUGGAGUUUUGGUAGAUAGCAUAGGACAUGUGCUUAUUUCUAAUCCAUCUUUUUAUAUUCAAUUUGCUUAUUGUCGGGCUAAUUUUGCUGCGCAUGCAUUAACCAGGACGUCAUUAAAGAAUCCUAUCAAUAAUUAUUUCUAUGAUA